GAUGAACGCUGGCGGCGUGCCUAAUACAUGCGAGUCGAGCGAACAGACGAGGAGCUUGCUCCUCUGACGUUAGCGGCGGACGGGUGAGUAACACGUGGAUAACCUACCUAUAAGACUGGGAUAACUUCGGGAAACCGGAGCUAAUACCGGAUAAUAUAUUGAACCGCAUGGUUCAAUAGUGAAAGACGGUUUUGCUGUCACUUAUAGAUGGAUCCGCGCCGCAUUAGCUAGUUGGUAAGGUAACGGCUUACCAAGGCAACGAUGCGUAGCCGACCUGAGAGGGUGAUCGGCCACACUGGAACUGACACACGGUCCAGACUCCUACGGGAGGCAGCAGUAGGGAAUCUUCCGCAAUGGGCGAAAGCCUGACGGAGCAACGCCGCGUGAGUGAUGAAGGUCUUCGGAUCGUAAAACUCUGUUAUUAGGGAAGAACAAAUGUGUAAGUAACUAUGCACGUCUUGACGGUACCUAAUCAGAAAGCCACGGCUAACUACGUG
rnacentral:rRNA from 1 species